AACUUUGCGCAGUGGCAGUAUCGUAGCCAAUGAGGUUAAUCCGAGGCGCGAUUAUUGCUAGUUGAAAACGUUUCCUUUCUCCCAUCCUUUGUCUGAUUUUAGAUUGCAAGCUCUAGGUCAGGGAUUCUCUCUUGCGAUACAUUUGUA